UGCAAGUCGAGCGCAGGAAAUCGACGGAACCCUUCGGGGGGGAAGUCGACGGAAUGAGCGGCGGACGGGUGAGUAACACGUAAAGAACCUGCCCUCAGGUCUGGGAUAACCACGAGAAAUCGGGGCUAAUACCGGAUGGGUCAUCGGACCGCAUGGUCCGAGGAUGAAAGGCGCUUCGGCGUCGCCUGGGGAUGGCUUUGCGGUGCAUUAGCUAGUUGGUGGGGUAAUGGCCCACCAAGGCGACGAUGCAUAGCCGACCUGAGAGGGUGAUCGGCCACACUGGGACUGAGACACGGCCCAGACUCCUACGGGAGGCAGCAGUAGGGAAUCUUCCACAAUGGACGAAAGUCUGAUGGAGCAACGCCGCGUGAACGAUGAAGGCCUCGGUCGUAAAGUUCUGUUGUAAGGGAAGGAACAAG
rnacentral:rRNA from 1 species